UUGUAUAUCCGAAAUGCCACGUCUAUCUCGGCUGUCUGCCUCGCAGCGAGCUCUCAAUCGCCGCUUAAGAAAUAGAAAAUGAGAAUAAUGCAAGUUCUCAGAGAGAGCGCAGAGAAGAUUCGGAGAU